UUCGCAAUGCCCGAAAGGGUGACGAAGCGACGCCGCGUGGGUGAGGAAGGCCUUCGGGUUGUAAAACCCUGUCAGGAGUUAUGAAAUGUAAGUGCGCUAAUAUCGUUCUUAUUUGACAAAGGCUCCAAAGGAAGCCACGGCUAACUCUGUGCCAGCAGCCGCGGUAAUACAGAGGUGGCGAGCGUUGUUCGGAAUUAUUGGGCGUAAAGAGCACGUAGGUGGGUUUGCAAGUCAGAUGUGAAAGCCUUCUGUUCAACGGAAGAAUUGCAUCUGAAACUGCUAAUCUUGAGUAUAGGAGGGGAGAAUGGAACUUCUGGUGGAGCGGUGAAAUGCGUAGAUAUCAGAAGGAACGCCGGCGGCGAAAGCGAUUCUCUGGCCUAUUACUGACACUCAGUGUGCGAAAGCUAGGGGAGCAAACGGGAUUAGAUACCCCGGUAGUCCUAGCCGUAAACGAUGGGCACUAA
rnacentral:rRNA from 1 species